UACGGGGGGGGCAAGCGUUGUUCGGAAUUACUGGGCGUAAAGGGCUCGUAGGCGGCCAACUAAGUCGGAUGUGAAAUCCCCAAGCUUAACUUGGGAACUGCAUCCGAUACUGGAUGGCUUGAAUCCGGGAGAGGGAUGCAGAAUUCCAGGUGUAGCGGUGAAAUGCGUAGAUAUCUGGAGGAAUACCGGUGGCGAAGGCGGCAUCCUGGACCGGCAUUGACGCUGAGGCGCGAAAGCCAGGGGAGCAAACGGG
rnacentral:rRNA from 1 species